rnacentral:rRNA from 1 species
AUGGACAGUUUGGGUUUGGCACUAGUAAGUUUGCAGAAAAACAUUGAUUUGCUCUUGAAAGUUUGGAUGGUCUCGUCUGAGCGAGCCAUGGAAGCCAACACAAGCAGCAAGACCGGCGAGGUGCCGUCCCUCCUCGCCAACGUUGAGGUUUCCCAUCUCGACGGCUUCGAUACGACCACCCCGAUGCAGAGCCCCAAACCGGUGCUUUACCCCGACACGGGCCGCCCCGCCCGGAUGCGGCCGCCGGAGCGCGUGGCCCCGCGCAGCGAGGCGGUGAUCCCAGCUUUCGACUCGCCGUUCAACCCGCCGGGGCAGCGCUCGGGGUACCCCGUGUCUAUCAGCCUGCCAUCGUCGCCGACCGGCUUCGGCGAGCCCCUCGUGGCGCCCGGCGGCGACUUGCACGAGCGGAAGCAGGCCAUGUCGAACGCGGCGCAGGAGCCGGCGCAGCACGUGAGGUUCGUGCAGCCGCACAGGGUGAUGUUCCGGUCGCAGCCGAACCCCGGCGGGGUGCCCACCCACGCCGUGAGACGGAUGGGUAGCCGGGGCGGCAGGACCAUGAACCGGGACAAGCGCUUCGACUCGUUCAAGACGUUUUCCGGGAAGCUGGAGCGGCAGAUCACCCAUCUGGCCGGCGGCGGCGUGCCGGUUAGUACCCCCGAGGAGGAGGAGUUCGCCCAGGGACAGGGAGAAGCCGUGAGUGGCGACAACGUUGAUCGCUUCUUCGCCGCACUGGAGGGACCCGAGCUGGACAAACUCAAGUCGUCGGAGGAGCUGGCGCUGCCGGCGGACAAGAAGUGGCCGUUCCUGCUCCGGUUCCCCAUCUCGGCGUUCGGUAUGUGCCUCGGGGUCAGCAGCCAGGCGAUCCUGUACAAGACGAUCGCGACGGCGGCGCCGACCGAGUUCCUGCACGUGAACCCCAAGGUGAACCUGGUGCUUUGGUUCAUCUCCGUGGGGCUAAUGUCCAUCAUCACGGCCGCGUACGCAUUCAAGAUCAUCUUCUUCUUCGAGGCCGUCCGUCGCGAGUACUACCACCCCAUCCGUGUCAACUUCUUCUUCGCGCCGUGGAUCGCCUGUCUGUUCCUGGCCAUGGGCGUGCCCCCCUCCGUCGCCACCCAGCUGCCUCCCUGGCUUUGGUACGCGCUCAUGUUCCCGGUGCUGUGCCUCGAGCUCAAGAUCUACGGGCAGUGGAUGUCCGGCGGGCAGAGGCGGCUGUCCAAGGUGGCCAACCCGUCCAACCACCUGUCCGUCGUGGGCAACUUCGUGGGCGCGCUGAUGGGCGCGUCCAUGGGGCUCAAGGAAGGUCCCAUCUUCUUCUUCGGCGUCGGGAUGGCGCACUACGCCGUGCUGUUCGUGACGCUGUAUCAGAGGCUGCCCACCAACGCGACGCUGCCCAAGGACCUGCACCCGGUCUUCUUCCUCUUCGUGGCGGCGCCGAGCGUGGCGUCCAUGGCGUGGGCCAAGAUCGUGGACGAGUUCGGCGUGGGGGCCAAGCUCGCCUACUUCAUCGCCAUGUUCCUCUACUCGUCGCUCGCCGUCCGGAUCAACUUCUUCAGAGGGUUCAGGUUCUCGCUGUCGUGGUGGGCCUACACGUUCCCGAUGACCGGCGCGGCCAUCGCGUCCAUCCGGUACGCCACCGUGGUGGACAAUGCCUUCACCAAGGCGCUGUGUGUGGGGCUGUCGCUGCUGGCCACGCUCACCGUGACGGGCCUCUUCGCCACCACCAUGGUGCACGCCUUGGUGUUCCACGACCUUUUCCCCAACGACAACGCCAUCGCCAUCACGGACCGCAAGAUGAAGCCUAUCAUGGAGCUGCAAGAGAGUGGCAAGGACGACGACAGCCGCUCCGGCAGCAGCAGCAGCAAGGACGUAGAGGCCGGCGCCGCUGCCGCAGUAGCACCAGAAGCUUGA